UAACAAGGAUUCCCCUAGUAACUGCGAGUGAAGCGGGAAAAGCUCAAAUUUAAAAUCUGGCGGUCUUUGGCCGUCCGAGUUGUAGUCUGGAGAAGUGCUUUCCGCGCUGGACCGUGUAUAAGUCUCUUGGAACAGAGCGUCAUAGAGGGUGAGAAUCCCGUCUUUGACACGGACUACCAGUGCUUUGUGAUGCGCUCUCAAAGAGUCGAGUUGUUUGGGAAUGCAGCUCAAAAUGGGUGGUAAAUUCCAUCUAAAGCUAAAUAUUGGCGAGAGACCGAUAGCGAACAAGUACCGUGAGGGAAAGAUGAAAAGCACUUUGGAAAGAGAGUUAAACAGUACGUGAAAUUGCUGAAAGGGAAACACUUGAAGUCAGUCGCGUUGGCCGGAACUCAGCCUUGCUUUCGCUUGGUGCACUUUCCGGUUGACGGGCCAGCAUCGAUUUCGACCGGCGGAAAAGGGUUGGAGAAAUGUGGCACCCUCGGGUGUGUUAUAGUCUCUAGUCGCAUACGUCGGUCGGGAUCGAGGAUCGCAGCGCGCCGCAAGGCAGGGGUUCGCCCACUUUCGCGCUUAGGAUGCUGGCAUAAUGGCUUUAAAUGAC
rnacentral:rRNA from 1 species